rnacentral:rRNA from 1 species
UACGAAGGGUGCAAGCGUUAAUCGGAAUUACUGGGCGUAAAGGGUGCGUAGGCGGUUCGUUAAGUCUGUCGUGAAAUCCCCGGGCUCAACCUGGGAAUGGCGAUGGAUACUGGGCAGCUAGAGUGUGUCAGAGGAUGGUGGAAUUCCCGGUGUAGCGGUGAAAUGCGUAGAGAUCGGGAGGAACAUCAGUGGCGAAGGCGGCCCGCUGGGCAGGAAGGCUCGCAAGAGCCGGCUGACGCUGAGGCGCGACAGCGUGGGGAGCAAACAGG